rnacentral:rRNA from 1 species
GAUGAACGCUGGCGGCGUGCCUAAUACAUGCAAGUCGAGCGAACAGACGAGGAGCUUGCUCCUCUGACGUUAGCGGCGGACGGGUGAGUAACACGUGGAUAACCUACCUAUAAGACUGGGAUAACUUCGGGAAACCGGCGCAAAUACCGGAUAAUAUCUUGAACCGCAUGGUUCAAUAGUGAAAGACGGUUUUGCUGUCACUUAUAGAUGGAUCCGCGCCGCAUUAGCUAGUUGGUAAGGUAACGGCUUACCAAGGCAACGAUGCGUAGCCGACCUGAGAGGGUGAUCGGCCACACUGGAACUGAGACACGGUCCAGACGACUACGGGAGGCAGCAGUAGGGAAUCUUCCGCAAUGGGCGAAAGCCUGACGGAGCAACGCCGCGUGAGUGAUGAAGGUCUUCGGAUCGUAAAACUCUGUUAUUAGGGAAGAACAAAUGUGUAAGUAACUAUGCACGUCUUGACGGUACCUAAUCAGAAAGCCACGGCUAACUACGUG